rnacentral:rRNA from 1 species
GGGGAAUAUUGGUCAAUGGGCGAAAGCCUGAACCAGCAAUGCCGCGUGGGUGAUGAAGGCCUUCGGGUUGUAAAGCCCUGUCAGAAGGAAAGAAAAAAUCGGUUAAUACCCGAUCUUGACGGUACCAUUUGUAAGCUCCGGCUAACUCCGUGCCAGCAGCCGCGGUAAUACGGGGGGAGCAAGCGUUGUUCGGAUUUACUGGGCGUAAAGGGCGCGUAGGCGGCGCAACAAGUCACUUGUGAAAUCUCCGGGCUUAACCCGGAGCGGCCAAGUGAUACUGUCGUGCUAGAGUGCGGAAGGGGCUACUGGAAUUCUCGGUGUAGCGGUGAAAUGCGUAGAUAUCGAGAGGAACACCUGCGGCGAAGGCGGGUAGCUGGGCCGACACUGACGCUGAGGCGCGAAAGCCAGGGGAGCGAAC